rnacentral:tRNA from 1 species
GACCGCGUAGCUCAGUUGGAAGAGCAUUCGGCUGGUAUUCCAAAGGUCGUAGGUUCGAAUCCCACCGUGGCCG